AAAAAGGCAGGACAGAAGAACAUCAACU
rnacentral:piRNA from 1 species